rnacentral:rRNA from 3 species
UUUCCAGAGAUGGAUUGGUGCCUUCGGGAACUGUGAGACAGGUGCUGCAUGGCUGUCGUCAGCUCGUGUUGUGAAAUGUUGGGUUAAGUCCCGCAACGAGCGCAACCCUUAUCCUUUGUUGCCAGCGGUCCGGCCGGGAACUCAAAGGAGACUGCCAGUGAUAAACUGGAGGAAGGUGGGGAUGACGUCAAGUCAUCAUGGCCCUUACGACCAGGGCUACACACGUGCUACAAUGGCGCAUACAAAGAGAAGCGACCUCGCGAGAGCAAGCGGACCUCAUAAAGUGCGUCGUAGUCCGGAUUGGAGUCUGCAACUCGACUCCAUGAAGUCGGAAUCGCUAGUAAUCGUGGAUCAGAAUGCCACGGUGAAUACGUUCCCGGGCCUUGUACACACCGCCCGUCACACCAUGGGAGUGGGUUGCAAAAGAAGUAGGUAGCUUAACCUUCGGGAGGGCGCUUACCACUUUGUGAUUCAUGACUGGGGUGAAGUCGUAACAAGGUAACCGUAGGGGAACCUGCGGUUGGAUCACCUCCUUACCUGAAAGAA